rnacentral:rRNA from 1 species
CCUACGGGAGGCAGCAGUGGGGAAUAUUGGACAAUGGGCGCAAGCCUGAUCCAGCAAUGCCGCGUGUGUGAAGAAGGCCUGCGGGUUGUAAAGCACUUUUAUCGGGAAAGAAAAGCCUGGGGUUAAUACCCUUCAGGCCUUGACGGUACCCGAAGAAUAAGCACCGGCUAACUCCGUGCCAGCAGCCGCGGUA